UAACGCGUGAGUAACCUGCCCUAGAGUGGGGGACAACAGUUGGAAACGACUGCUAAUACCGCAUAAGCCCACGGUACCGCAUGGUACUGAGGGAAAAGGAUUUAUUCGCUUUAGGAUGGACUCGCGUCCAAUUAGCUAGUUGGUGAGGUAACGGCCCACCAAGGCGACGAUUGGUAGCCGGACUGAGAGGUUGAACGGCCACAUUGGGACUGAGACACGGCCCAGACUCCUACGGGAGGCAGCAGUGGGGGAUAUUGCACAAUGGGGGAAACCCUGAUGCAGCGACGCCGCGUGGAGGAAGAAGGUUUUCGGAUUGUAAACUCCUGUCGUUAGGGACGAUAAUGACGGUACCUAACAAGAAAGCACCGGCUAACUACGUGCCAGCAGCCGCGGUAAAACGUAGGGUGCAAGCGUUGUCCGGAAUUACUGGGUGUAAAGGGAGCGCAGGCGGGAAGACAAGUUGGAAGUGAAAACCAUGGGCUCAACCCAUGAAUUGCUUUCAAAACUGUUUUUCUUGAGUAGUGCAGAGGUAGAUGGAAUUCCCGGUGUAGCGGUGGAAUGCGUAGAUAUCGGGAGGAACACCAGUGGCGAAGGCGGUCUACUGGGCACCAACUGACGCUGAGGCUCGAAAGCAUGGGUAGCAAACAGGAUUAGAUACCCUGGUAGUCCAUGCCGUAAAACGAUGAUUACUAGGUGUU
rnacentral:rRNA from 1 species